rnacentral:rRNA from 1 species
AUUGAACGCUGGCGGCAGGCCUAACACAUGCAAGUCGAGCGGAACGGCGGACGGGUGAGUAAUGCCUAGGAAUCUGCCUGUUAGUUGGGUAUAACUUCCGGGAACGUGCGCUUAUACCGCAUACUAUCAGAUGAGCCUAGGUCGGAUUAGCUAGGUGGUGGGGUAAAGGCCUACCAAGGCGACGAUCCGUAAAUGGUCUGAGAGGAUGAUCAGUCACACUGGAACUGAGACUCGGUCCAGACUCCUACGGGAGGCAGCAGUGGGGAAUAUUGGACAAUGGGCGAAAGCCUGAUCCAGCAAUGACGCGUGUGUGAAGAAGGUCUUCGGAUUGUAAAGCACUUUAAGUUGGGAGGCGUUACCAACAGAAUAAGCACCGGCUAACUUCGUGCCAGCAGCCGCGGUAAUAC